ACUCCGGCUUCCUCCCACAGUCCAAAGACAUGCAGAUUGGGGACUAGGUUAGUUGAUAACUCUGAAUUGUCCAUAGGUGUGAAUGUGAGCGUGAAUGGUUGUUUGUCUCUGGCGACCUGUCAAGGGUGUACCCUGCCUCUCGCCCGAUGUAGCUGGGAUAGGCUCCAGCCCCCCCGCGACCCUCAAGAGGAUGAAGCAGUUAGAAGAUGAAUGAAUGAAUGAAAUCAUCAGUUAUAGGUCUGGGUCCGAACCAGACCCCUAGGAAAGCCAAUCAGCCUUGCAGCAAUGUUUCUCUAGUGGUCACUCGUGGUAUUGCAGCCCAAAAACUAUUUUCCCCAUAGACCACCAUUACAAAAGACACAUCUUUAAAACUAUUAAUAGGACACCUCGAACUACACACAAGGGCAAUUACGAAUCUUUCUAUUCUGAAUUUUUGAGCCAUGGUGGUUUCAUAUUUGUAAAACUACCCUGGAGACGAGAAAAACGAUUUAAAAAUCUGUGAUGUCAUCAUAAUGUAAAAUCCAUGAGCCAAGAAAUACCACUGCACAUAUUCAGUGGGCCACAUAUUCCAGAAGUAAACCCGGAAGCUAGAAAACUUUUUUGGCGUACGUGCCAGGUGAGCAACUCCAUUGGAAUGAAUAGGCGCCAUCUUGGCAUCCGAUAUCUAAACAAAUCCACGGUCCAAACCCAGGGUCACCAAAUCGCCUACUGCCUUUGGUAUAUAGAAACAAUGACAACAUAAUUUAAAAUGAUAUGCAUAUCCACUCUACUGGAAACAUCCAUGUUUUUCCACAUUACUGCAUAACAUUUUUUUGUGUGUAUAUAUUUGUUUAAACUGGACAUAUUUCUAAUUGAUGAAAUGUAACUAAUUUGAGGAGUGUACUGACGCCUGUAAGAAGAGCUACUGUGGAUUUGCCUACCCCUUCAUGUACUUCCUGUCUUAUGUUAACACUAUUACGAGCAUGUGUAUCAUUUAUACGUAGCACUAUCAAAUAUAAAUGAAAGCUUAUGGUUCAUAUUGUAUUUUUGAGGCAAAGUUGUAUGGGGGUUUUUUUUGUUUUGUUUUCAGUGGGUUGCACUUCAUUUUACAGCCUGAUCUAGCCAGUUGCUUCCUGUAAAGAAACAGCUCGUAGCAUUGUUGUAAUUGUUGGGUCAAACUGUUUCAUGCACUUUCUUUCCCGCACUCUUCUCUCCUGCAAACUGUGGGCUGUAGAAUAAAGUGUCCAAAUUGUCGGUUGUGCAAUGUUCCCUCUGCAGAGGCUAGUUAAAACACUGUCUCAUUAAAAAAGAAUAUUUCUCA